rfam:Myotis brandtii contig285379, whole genome shotgun sequence.
GGUGGUUCUCAGGUGACACACCCCGGAAUCGGGCUCCCUCCUCUCUGGUUCCGGGUACACCACCCAAGAACUGCA